rnacentral:rRNA from 1 species
AUACGUAGGGGGCGAGCGUUGUCCGGAAUGAUUGGGCGUAAAGGGCGCGUAGGCGGCCCGGUAAGUCUGGAGUGAAAGUCCUGUUUUUAAGAUGGGAAUUGCUUUGGAUACUGUCGGGCUUGAGUGCAGGAGAGGUAAGUGGAAUUCCCAGUGUAGCGGUGAAAUGCGUAGAGAUUGGGAGGAACACCAGUGGCGAAGGCGACUUACUGGACUGUAACUGACGCUGAGGCGCGAAAGUGGGGGGAGCAAACAGGAUUAGAUACCCUGGUAGUCCACACUGUAAACGAUGAAUGCUAGGUGUAGGGGGUAUCGACCCCGUCUGUGCCGCAGUCAACACAAUAAGCAUUCCGCCUGGGGAGUGCGGCCGCAAGGUUGAAACUUAAAGGAAUUGACGGGG